AAUAUUCGAAAAUGGGCGAAUGCCUGAUCCAGCCAUGCCGCGUGUGUGAAGAAGGUAUUCGGAUUGUAACGCACUUUAAGUUGGGAGGAAGGGCAGUAAGUUCAUACCUUGCUGUUUUGACGUUACCAACAGAAUAAGCACCGGCUAACUCUGUGCCAGCAGCCGCAGUAAUACAGAGGGUGCAAUGGUUAAUCGGAAUUACUGGGGGGAAAACGCGCGUAGGUGGUUCAGUAAGAUGGGUGUGAAAUCCCCGAGCUUAACCUGGGAACUGCUUUCAUAACUACUGAGCUAGAGUACGGUAGAGGGUAGUGGAAUUUCCUGUGUAGCGGUGAAAUGCGUAGAUAUAGGAAGGAACAACAGUGGCGAAGGCGGCUGCCUGGACUGAUACUGACACUGAGGUGCGAAAGCAUGGGGAGCAAACA
rnacentral:rRNA from 1 species